UCACCAUCCUGCCAGCUACAAGUCAGAAGAAUAUUUUCUAUUUCAGUCUAGGAGGCAAAGUCUGCAAGCAAGGAGUGACAUCUGAGUCUGGCUAAGACACAUAUGGAAACAUUGUUUAUACUACCAAGGCUUUGACUGGAAUGUCAUAUUUGAGAGAGGUAUGCAUAGACUAAGAUAUGACCAGAUAGCUUUAGGAAACAAAGCUCGACUUUAUGGAACAAAUAAGACCCCUUGGAAAUAUUGGCCUGAUACUUGACUACAGGGUUACCAGCAACCUUACCGGGAAUCUCUGGCUCAGAAGAAGGAUGCCAAUCACUGGGAAAUGACAGAACGGCCUCCGUCAAUCUGGCAAUAGGAAUGUUCUUUGCAUUACAGACUAUAGUUGGAUUUCUGGGGGAAUUUCUCUUUUCUUUACCACUAUUUUUUCCUUUACUACACAGGAUGCAAAUUUAGGUCCACAGAUUUGAUUCUCAAACACCUGACUGUAGCCAAUCUCUUGGUUAUUUUGUCUAAAGGAGUCGCCCAAACAAUGGCAGCUUUGGGGUUAA
rnacentral:lncRNA from 1 species